rnacentral:rRNA from 1 species
ACUCCUACGGGAGGCAGCAGUGGGGAAUAUUGCACAAUGGGCGCAAGCCUGAUGCAGCCAUGCCGCGUGUGUGAAGAAGGCCUUCGGGUUGUAAAGCACUUUCAGCGAGGAGGAAGGUGGUGAACUUAAUACGUUCAUCAAUUGACGUUACUCGCAGAAGAAGCACCGGCUAACUCCGUGCCAGCAGCCGCGGUAAUACGGAGGGUGCAAGCGUUAAUCGGAAUUACUGGGCGUAAAGCGCACGCAGGCGGUUUGUUAAGUCAGAUGUGAAAUCCCGCC